CGCUAAGAAGCUAAACCGGACUCAGCGUUAGCCUUUUAAGCUAAAGACUGGUGGCUCCUACCCACCCUUAGCGG
rnacentral:tRNA from 1 species